CCUACGGGUGGCAGCAGUGGGGAAUAUUGCACAAUGGGGGAAACCCUGAUGCAGCGACGCCGCGUGAGUGAGGAAGUAUUUCGGUAUGUAAAGCUCUAUCAUCAGGGAAGAAAAUGACGGUGUCUGACUAAGAAGCCCCGGCUAACUCCGUGCCAGCAGCCGCGGUAAUACGUGGGGGGCAAGCGUUAUCCGGAGGUAUGGGGUUAAAAGGGUGCGCAGGCGGGUUUUUAAGUCAUCGGUAAAAGCGUGGGGCUCAACCCCAUCCAGCCGUUGAAACUGGGGAUCGAGAGUGUGCGAGAGGUAUGCGGAAUGCGUGGUGUAGCGGUGAAAUGCAUAGAUAUCACGCAGAACACCGAUUGCGAAGGCAGCAAACCGGUGCACAACUGACGCUCAGGCACGAAAGCGUGGGUAGCGAACAGGAUUAGAUACCCGAGUAGUC
rnacentral:rRNA from 1 species